rnacentral:rRNA from 1 species
CAGUAGCCGCGGGAAUACGUAGGUGGCGAGCGUUGUCCGGAAUUAUUGGGCGUAAAGCGUGCGCAGGCGGUUAUGUAAGACAGGUGUGAAAUCCCCGGACUUAACCUGGGAACUGCGCUUGUGACUGCACAGCUAGAGUAUGGCAGAGGGGGGUGGAAUUCCACGUGUAGCGGUGAAAUGCGUAGAGAUGUGGAGGAACACCAGUGGCGAAGGCGACUCUCUGGUCUGUAACUGACGCUGAGGAGCGAAAGCGUGGGGAGCGAACAGGAUUAGAUACCCCCGUAGUCCCUGUCUCUUAUAC